GACGAACGCUGGCGGCGUGCUUAACACAUGCAAGUCGAACGGAAAGGCCCUGCUUUUGUGGGGUGCUCGAGUGGCGAACGGGUGAGUAACACGUGAGUAACCUGCCCUUGACUUUGGGAUAACUUCAGGAAACUGGGGCUAAUACCGGAUAGGAGCUCCUGCUGCAUGGUGGGGGUUGGAAAGUUUCGGCGGUUGGGGAUGGACUCGCGGCUUAUCAGCUUGUUGGUGGGGUAGUGGCUUACCAAGGCUUUGACGGGUAGCCGGCCUGGGAGGGUGACCGGCCAAUGUGGGCUGGAGGUGCCGCCCAGACGCAUACGGGGGGCAGGGGGGGGGACUUUGGCAAGAGGGGCGGAAGGCGGAACGAGCGACCGCGGGUGGGGAAGAACGGCUUUCGGGAGGAAAACCGUUUUCGCUUGUACCGAGGGGUGAGGACGGGAAAUGGAAAAAGAAGCACGGCUAACUACCGG
rnacentral:rRNA from 1 species